AUUAAAUUAAAAAAGAAAAUGGAACCAUCUGGUUUGCUUAAUAUAAGGAAUUUGAAAUGAUUGAUACUUUUACUACUUAAGUAUAUUUUAGCAAUUACUUUUGAUACCUGAGUAUAUUUAAAACCAAAUACUUUUAGACUUUUACUUAAGUAGUAUUUUACUGGGUGACUUUCACUUGAGUCAUUUUCCUUCAAACCAGUCAAGGGAAGUGAACAAGUGCACAUGACAACAUAGAAUAAGAGCCUAACAUAAGGCAGUGUGAAUAAAUCCUGAUCAUAUGACUGAUCUACUGUAGUAGUCUAUCCACGCUUCACUACUCCUUUUGCUCCACAUACAUUAAACAUCAUUCAUCUGUGGCCUUGCUGGUCCAGCAGUAAUGCUGCAGCCUCCAGUACACAUAGGCCUGUCUGCAGUGUUGUCAUAGGUCCAUCCAGCCUGCAGCCUCCAGUACACAUAGGCCUGUCUGCAGUGUUGUCAUAGGUCCAUCCAGCCUGCAGCCUCCAGUACACAUAGGCCUGUCUGCAGUGUUGUCAUAGGUCCAUCCAGCCUGCAGCCUCCAGUACACAUAGGCCUGUCUGCAGUGUUGUCAUAGGUCCAUCCAGCCUGCAGCCUCCAGUACACAUAGGCCUGUCUGCAGUGUUGUCAUAGGUCCAUCCAGCCUGCAGCCUCCAGUACACAUAGGCCUGUCUGCAGUGUUGUCAUAGGUCCAUCCAGCCUGCAGCCUCCAGUACACAUAGGCCUGUCUGCAGUGUUGUCAUAGGUCCAUCCAGCCUGCAGCCUCCAGUACACAUAGGCCUGUCUGCAGUGUUGUCAUAGGUCCAUCCAGCCUGCAGCCUCCAGUACACAUAGGCCUGUCUGCAGUGUUGUCAUAGGUCCAUCCAGCCUGCAGCCUCCAGUACACAUAGGCCUGUCUGCAGUGUUGUCAUAGGUCCAUCCAGCCUGCAGCC